UUGAACCAAGAGUUGAAGGAAGGAGACAACGUGACCUUAAUCUGUGAAGGUGAUGGGAAUCCACCUCCUGAAUACACUUUAUUCAAGACUGAGGACACCCAGUACUCGCCCCCAGACGGGAAGCUGUUCUUUCCCAGCGUCGUGAGAAACGACAGUGGUCUCUAUUGGUGCAAAGCCCUGGAUUUGCACACCCUCGAUGAACUAAUCGCUUCGGUGGAUCUGAUGGUAAACUACCUCGACGUGCCCACCAUCUUCUCAGUUGGACCCCAGGAACCAAUGGAAGGAGAAGACCUGGUCCUGACCUGCUCCACCACAGGAUCCGGACCUUUGAAAUACCAGUGGAAGAAGAAAGGGAAGCACAUCGGAGACGGUGCGGUUCUGAACUUGACUUCCAUCACCUAUGAGAAAAUGGGCAAUUACACCUGCGUGGUGACAAUGCCUGACUUCCCAGGUUGGGUGCGGUCCCGGCACAUUGUUAUUGCUGUUCGAGGUAGGCACGGUGGGGCACCCGGUAGAGCCCUCGCCCUCUUCUCCCU
rnacentral:lncRNA from 1 species